GUGUACUACUCCUGUGGUGCAGUGGUGGAAUCAAUGGAAAGAGGCCUGAUUUUGUCACCAGGUUUUCCAAACAACUACUACCCAGGGACGCACUGCGUCUGGCAGUUCUUCAUUCCCAUGAGGACCCAUCUCAUCCUGGAAAUAUUUGACUUUGACAUUUUUGAGAGCUCCAGUGAAACUCCAGCCCCCUGGGAUGGCUUCUCAGCCCCUGCUACAACAGAAAAUAAGGACAUGCCUUCUCUUGAGGAAAACCUGGGCUUUGCUGUCCACACCAUAAAACCCUCUCUCCAGAGCUCAAUGUCGAAGGGGGCUCAGAACCUGAGCAGCACUGGAGACCAGUCAAAGGACCUUGCUGGUCACCUGGAGGAACUUCCAGGAGCCAUCUCCAAAAAAAAUGAAGCCAAGCAAGCAUCUGAAGAAAACCAGUGGAAGCAGAUGAAGGAACCCAAAGCAAUGACCAAGGAGCUGCCAUUGCCCAUGGCUGGUAGUGCCUCAAUGCAGAGGCAGAACACCAGUGGCCUGGAAACAGGAGAGGAUGUGGAAGGGAAGGUGUUGCUUGCCCACCUGGCUGCUGGUGAGAGGGAUGAAGUCACAGCAGAGAGCUGGACACUUCCCUCAACAGCACUGCCCAUGGAAGUCUCCUCCAGCCCUCAGCCAGCAGGGGAUGUCUGUCCCCAUGAUGUGUUGUAUGUUUCCGAUCUCAUCACAUUUUCCUCUCGCUUCUGCGGCCCAAAUUCCCCUGUAAACAAGACCAUGGUGUUUGGUUCAUCUCUGGAGAUGGUGGAGGUCAUCAUGGAGCUGAUCACCACCACGGACCGCGGCCGAGGCUUCGCGAUGCUGUUCGAGUACAGGAACAUCAGCGAGCCCGGCCCCGUGGGUGCUGUGAGGCAGGACAGGAGGGAAAACAUGAUGCUGCUGGCAGUUGUGACAGGGAUUGUUGUCUUUGCUCUUGCUUUGCUCUCUGCCCUCUGCGUAGCCUGCAGGCAGAGAACGUGCCCCAAAAGGAGCUCAUCCAACGCAUGCAGUGACCAGGAGAACAGGAUCCAGAACUCCACUGUCGAUAUCAAUGAGCUCCAGCUGGUGGUGCCAAGCCGGGAGAAUGAGAACAACAACCACUCUGUGAGCCGGGAGCAGGCGGUCACUUCCUGCAGAGGCAGCACAGAACGGUCUCCUCAGGACACUGACCCAGAUGUGCCCUCCUCCAUCUCUGCAGUGACCACUGAGACUGGGAGUGAUGAAGUGUUUAUCAUUUCUGCUGGACCUGGGACCAGUGGGCUGAGCUUCACCACCUACAGGAUACAGGACAAAAACCUGAAAAGGAGCGUGACAAGCCCGGGCUCCGUGUCGGACUGGCUGAGCUCCCAGCCCGCGGCUGCAGGGGCUGCAGAGAAGGGGAACGUGCAGCUGGAGAAUCCCUGUCCCCGGCAGCGCACCUGGAGCGCCCGCACCUUCCACGACCUCCUGGCUCCCAUCCCACAGCUGCAGAAGAAAUGGUGCAGCUGGAGCACCAACAGCCCCUUCACAAAGCUGGUGGACAGCAGUGGUUUUUCUACAGCUGCAAGGCCCCAAGGUGUUCCAACCAGAAAGGUAAUCUCAGCCACUGAGAUAGAGGGAGCAUCAGAGACUGUUUACUCUGAUUCAUCUGCCAGCAAUGCCUCCUAUCCCCUCACUCUGUCUGCACAGAGGCAGCGAAAGUUAACCUCCUGCAAUUUGAAGAAAUCCAGAUUUGGGAACCCUUAUUUUGGAUUUUUAGCCAGUUCCCCUGACAGCAAACAUAUGAGGUCCUUGGAUCCCUCAAGACAUCUAGGGGCAGCAUCUCCAGUUAACAGCCAAAGCCCCAAAAAUCUUCUAGAGAGCUCCAACCCACUGAAAAUCAACUUGGUCAACGGUUCAAAAACAAAGGAGCUUAUGGUAGAAACAGAUAAAAACAAACCAGUUUUUGUUAUUUCUGAAGAAGGGGAUGAUCAGCAGCCUCUGGUCCUGGCAGAACACCUUAGUCAGUGUGGAGAUCACCUGCCAGAGCAAAAUGCUGUGUAUGCUCAGGCCGUGCCAGAGAAGCAGCCGGUGGUUCUGAAUGCGGAGAGGAACAGCUCUGCCCCCUUCACACCGAGCCUUCCCCUCUGGGCUAAAUCCCCCACGUCGUACAAAGGCCAUGGGAAGGGCCCCAGCUCCUCCAGGGACCAGCAGAGCUCAGCUCUCAGUGUUGGUGGGGAUGCCAACAGUGCUGAGCCCUCCCAGAACUGCGACACCCCCAGUGCUGCCACGCUGUGCCAAGCCUCAGCCCAGUGA
rnacentral:lncRNA from 1 species